UACGAAGGGGGCUAGCGUUGUUCGGAAUUACUGGGCGUAAAGCGCGCGCAGGCGGUCUUCCAAGUCAGUGGUGAAAGCCCGGAGCUCAACUCCGGAAAUGCCAUUGAAACUGUGAGACUGGAGUACGAGAGAGGUGAGUGGAAUUCCCAGUGUAGAGGUGAAAUGCGUAGAUAUCGGGAGGAACACCUGUGGCGAAGGCGGCUCUCUGGACCGAUACUGACGCUGAGGCGCGAAAGCGUGGGGAGCAAACAGG
rnacentral:rRNA from 1 species